rnacentral:rRNA from 1 species
GACGAACGCUGGCGGCGUGCUUUACACAUGCAAGUCGAACGGAAAGACCCUGCUUUUGUGGGGUGCUCGAGUGGCGAACGGGUGAGUAACACGUGAGUAACCUGCCCUUGACUUUGGGAUAACUUCAGGAAACUGGGGCUAAUACCGGAUAGGAGCUCCUGCUGCAUGGUGGGGGUUGGAAAGUUUCGGCGGUUGGGGAUGGACUCGCGGCUUAUCAGCUUGUUGGUGGGGUAGUGGCUUACCAAGGCUUUGACGGGUAGCCGGCCUGAGAGGGUGACCGGCCACAUUGGGACUGAGAUACGGCCCAGACUCCUACGGGAGGCAGCAGUGGGGAAUAUUGCACAAUGGGCGGAAGCCUGAUGCAGCAACGCCGCGUGCGGGAUGACGGCCUUCGGGUUGUAAACCGCUUUCGCCUGUGACGAAGCGUGAGUGACGGUAAUGGGUAAAGAAGCACCGGCUAACUACGUG